rnacentral:rRNA from 1 species
GGUUGGACGAGAUAUAAGCUGUUUCAUUUAAAAUUUAUAUAGAAUUUUAUUUUUUAGUUAAAAAGCUAAAAUAUGAUCAAAAGACGAGAAGACCCUAUAAAUCUUAAUUAUUUAAUAAUUUUUAAUUUAUUUUGGUUUUUUUUGUUAUAAAUUUAUUAAAUAAUUUUAUUGGGGUGAUAUUAAAAUUUAAAUAACUUUUAAUAAUUUUUGUCAUUUAUUUAUGAUUAAGUGAUCCAUUAUUAGUGAUUAAAAAAUUAAGUUACUUUAGGGAUAACAGCGUAAUUUUUUUGGAGAGUUCUUAUCGAUAAAAAAGUUUGCGACCUCGAUGUUGGAUUAAGAUUCAUAUUUAAAUGUAGAAGUUUAAAUAUUAAGUCUGUUCGACUUUUUAUUCUUACAUGAUCUGAGUUCAAACCGGUGUAAGCCAGGUUGGUUUCUAUCUUUGAUUUAAUAAAAUAUUU